AUUUUAUUUCAAAUAUACGCGUAUUUGUAUGGUGCGAACUAAUCGUUAUUUUAUUGAAGUCACAUUAAGUUCAUAACAUAAAUAAAAUCAUUUUAACAUCAAAAUAAACAAAAAUACGAUAUAUAUGACAAACAAUAGCAUAAGAAUGACAAACAAAUUCACACUUCAAUGUUUAGAAAAUUGCUUUGUUUAUGAAGGAUCGAAUACAGGUCUUUAAAAAAAUAUCAUUUGUCAUAUAAGUUAUUUAGGUUACAUUUAAUUCGUUUUGAAGCUCACAUGGUAGUUACAAAUCUAAUGGAGUAUUUUAUCCAUGGCAGAAGGUUCUUAAGCAUAUAAACAGUUGUAUUUUCAUAUUAAUUUUUUUCUGUUAUCAAAAAUGUGUCAGUCUACAUUUAUAAGCGGGAAGUUUUAGUAAAAUGAAAUAAUCUUUCUUUUCCUCUUACUUUCUCUCCGACUCGGAGAAACUACACAUUCAAGUAGUCGUUUGACAAUCGAGGAUUUUAAAACUACUUUAUAUAUUAAAAUUGAAUUUGUUAAAGACCCCUUAUACAUAUGUAAAGAUACCAUGUAGGAUCUGAUAUUGAGUUUGAUCAAAGUCUUAAGUUUUCGGAUGUAUUCGUGAAAAUUAAAAAUGCAACCUUAAAAAAUAUUUAAAGUUUUAAUUUCUUAAUCUCUUCACAGGGAUUAGAAUAAAACGAUAGUUGUUACUGGAUUCUUACAGUUAUGACAACCUAAUUAAGUUUUAAAAUUGCUUUACUAUUAAUAAAGGGGACUGUACAAUAUUAGGGAGAGAAAUUGAACAGAAACUAUGGAUUAUGCCACUACUUACAAUCGUCCGGUGAAGAAAAUAAUAAAAAGCGGUGUUUUUUCAGCAAAAGAACAAAAAUCUUUUAAUUCCUAUGGACGGUCUUCAGAGCGGCGUCCCACUUUCCAAGGGGUUAUGAAACUUACUAUUAUCCUUGGUCAAUUCGUUGGACUUAACCCAGUUCUCGGAGUUUGUGAUGUAGACAGUUCUAAGCUUAGGUUCACAUAUUUAUCGGGACGAUGUGCUUAUACUCUUCUUACAAUAGUUCUACAAACACUUCUCCUAAAUAUUCUGUUUUUAUUGAAAUAUUUUAAAGACACGAAUACUUCGAUUGUCGGAAACACACCACUGGUUUUCUACUCCUCCACUACAAUGAUAACCAUUCUAUUUUUGCAUAUAGCUAUGAAAUGGCCUAAUCUUUGUCGAUAUAUCUCAUGUACAGAAGCAAUCGACCCUUUGAAUGAUUAUGCCCUUGUGAGAAAAUGUAAUGUUGCCUGUUUACUAGUCCUUUCUUUCGCAUUCGUUGAACACGGUUUGCUUGAACUUUCUGGGUUUGUGUUCGCCACGGACUGUAGUCCUCCGGGGAAAGUAUAUGAAACAAUCAUAGUUAACAGUUUUCCGUGGUUCAAUAAUAUUGUGAACUACAAUCUCAAUUUGGGAAUCAUUACACAGUUACUCAAUAUUCAAUGUACAUUCAACUGGAAUUUCUCAAAUCUUUUUGUAAUAAACAUUAGUCUGUAUCUGACUUCAAGACUUGAACAAAUAAAUAACAGGAUCUCUGCUAUUAAAGGAAAGGCGAUGCCAUCUACAUUUUGGCGUAACGUGAGAGAGGAUUACAAUCGAAUAACAAGUCUUGUCCGUAAAGUAGAUAAAGUCAUCGGAGGAGUUAUUUUUAUUUCAUUUGCCAACAAUCUCUUUUUCAUAUGCUUUCAAUUGCUCCAUACCCUUGCAGGUGAAGUGAAAGCAACGCCUUCUUGUCAUACUCCAGACCAGAGAAUAUUCCGUGGAUACGAACAAGCAACCUACUUCUUAUACUCCUUAAUAUUUCUCAUUGUAAGGUCAUUGGCACUUUCUCUGAUUGCGGCCAGAGUGCACACGGUGAGCCGACAACCCGUUUAUACGCUAUACGAACUUCCAUCGGCAGAUUAUGGCAUGGAGAUUUAUAGACCAAAUACACGGUGAUACAGUCGCAUUGACGGGUUUACAAUUUUUUAAAGUAACCCGAGGAAUUGCUUUAGCGAUUGCAGGAACGAUUGUAACUUACGAGUUAGUAUUGAUGCAGUUCACUGGAGUCAAUCCUACCGUAGACAUUUAUACUGAUGACUCAACCAAAGUAUGACUGAGAUCAUUAUGACAUUUAUUAAUAUUACCCUAAUUAAAUGUCUCUCUUAUAAAUAUAAUAGACAUUGUAUGUACCUCGAAAGAUUAUAAAAAUUUGCUUUAUGUAUUUGUAUAAAUAAAAAAAAAGUUGCGAUUUGUUUGGUAUCCAUGAGAAACAAGAUUAUGAUGUAAUUUAAAAAAAAAAACACAAUUUUUAAUAGCUUACAAAAUAUUUUCAAAGUAACGACAUUAUGUUAGAAUAUUUAUCUAUUCAAAUUACCUGUGACAUUAUGGACCCUGUAAACAGAGGGGAAUAAAACGAGAACGGAUGUUUAUUUAAGCAUUGGUUGUGUAAUUAAAUGUUUAUGCUUUGUACCCUUCACAUUCAUAAUUCGAAAAUAGAGCAUUCUAAUUAGCAUUAAAA